GAUGAACGCUGGCGGCGUGCCUAAUACAUGCAAGUCGAGCGAACUUUUGGGAGCUUGCUCCCGAGAGUUAGCGGCGGACGGGUGAGUAACACGUGGGUAACCUGCCUUUAAGACUGGGAUAACUUCGGGAAACCGGAGCUAAUACCGGAUAAGAUUUCCGGCCACAUGGCGUUCAAUGAAAAGGUGGCUUUUAUCUACAACUUCUCGCUGGUCACGCGGCGGAUUGGCAAGUUGGUGAGGUAACAGCUCACGAAGGCGACGAUGCGUAGCAGAGCUGAGAGGGUGAGCGGCCACACUGGGACUGAGACACGGCACAGACGCAUACGGGAGGCAGCAGUAGGGAAUCGGGCGCAAUGGACGAAAGUCUGACGGAGCAACGCCGCGUGAGCGAAGAAGGCCGUCGGGUCGUAAAGCUCGGUUGUUAGGGAAGAACAAGUAUCGUUCGAAUAGGGCGGUACCUUGACGGUACCUAACCAGAAAGCCACGGCUAACUACGUG
rnacentral:rRNA from 1 species